rnacentral:misc_RNA from 1 species
ACCAAUGAUUACGAAGUCAAGAUGCGCAACGUGUUUCGCUUUCUGGAAACCGGUGACAAGGUCAAGGUCACCCUGCGGUUCCGUGGUCGUGAAAUGGCCCACCAGAACCUGGGCUACGAAUUGCUCAAGCGCGUGCAGGAAGACACCAAGGACAUCGGCAAGGUCGAGAGCUUUCCCAAGAUGGAAGGCCGCCAGAUGGUCAUGAUGAUCGGCCCGACCCAGCGUUAAGUCGUUCUGUUCGAGAUGUAGAAGGGGGCGCUUUAUCAGCGCCCUUUUUGCUGUCCGGCCAUCCUUGUGACGGCUGGAGACUUCACUCCGACGGCCGAUCCACAGAAAAACAGA